GUGCUCACUUCUACAGCACAUAUACUAAAACUGGAACGAUACAGAGAAGAUUAGCAUGGCCCCUGAGCAAGGAUGACAUGCAAAUUCGUGAAGUGUUCCAUAUUUUU
rnacentral:snRNA from 1 species